GCCUCUGUAGCUCAGUGGUUAGAACGUUGGUCUUCUAAACCAGGAGUCGAGAGUUCAGUUCCUUCCGGCGGUU
rnacentral:tRNA from 1 species